GCGGUCACGUUCGAGGCUGUUGUGGUUGUGGCGGCGGCGGCGGCGGAGGCGGUGGAGGCGGUGGCAGCGGUG
rnacentral:miRNA from 1 species